UCUGGUCAGUAGGUUUUGCAUAACCCUACGGACAAACAAACAAAUAAACAGACGGGUGAAAACACAACUUCCUUGGUGAUAAAUAUAUAUACAUAUAUAUAUGUAUAUAUAUAUUAUCUAUAAUGUAAUUGCAAUGUUGCAGCUGUUUUUGUUAAGCGUUAUCCCUCCUCUCUCUCAUCCCUUUAAAGGAUACCAUCACCAGUUUUUUAAAGGAUUCAUCAAAGGACUUCACCUUCAUCCUUUUGCACUUGGACGCCGUCGCUUGUUUUAGGAUUCAUCGCGCUGAAUUCAUCACAGCGCAGUAUUGGAUUUCACAACGCCACGUUGUCAAGGUAUUUAUCCUCUGAAUCUUCCUUGGUUCGCUCUGACUCAUGACAUGGCUUUAAUGUUUUUAGGGAGUGGAAUGGCUAUAGAUGUGUUGGAUGAGGGGUGGGGUGUGAUCGAAUUUUGAUGUGUGAUCGAUUUUUGGUGUGUGAUCGAUUUUUGGUGUGUGAGCAGUUGUGUUAUUCGGUCCGACUGGACCAAAGUGCCAGAGCAUGUGUUUUGGGGGUUCAGUCCUGCUCUGUCGUCAGCUGUGUGUCAUAGAAGGAGACGUAACCAGUAAAUGAUGAGCUUUACCUGACGUUACAUUCGUUUAACACUCAUCCUGCGUCCUGCACGCAUCACCAUCCAGGAUCUCACCAACACUUAAUUUUUUGUUUACAUUUGUCUGUAUUAGAGCAUGUAAAACUUUUCAAGUAUAAACUCAGAAUCAAAAUUAUGAAUCUAAAAAUUAGCAUAAUAUAUUUCUCAUUUUACAUUAAUAUCACAGGCGCUAUCGCAUGUCUUUCGGGUUCGGGUGUGUUUGGGUUCGACUUCAGCAGAUGGAGAUUUGUGUUUAAGCCAGCAGUCUAUGUUUGCAUGCCUUCAAGUUCACAUUAUAAUUGAAACGUGUCUAAAUGUCAGUGAGAGAUACUGAAACAUCAGAGGAGGCUCGUAGCCUAGAGAGCAGACUUACCCAAAAAGGUCGGCCGUAUUCCACACCGCUGCAAACCAGGUGCAAAUGUGUGCAGGAAUUUCCAGCAUCGUAAGUGCUAGAUUUUUGGGAAUAGAUAAAAUUAUGCACAAUAUCCACAAUUGUGCAAUGAAAUUCAAGCCCUGCCAAUGGAGGUUUUUAAAGAACAUUAGAACAUAAGUUUUAAUAAAAUGCCAACAUUGCGCUCUGGGCUCAGCGUCUAGCUAAUAGCUGCUUUGAGAGUUCUAAUGGCUGAUGCAGAUGUGACAUCAUCUGCCCCUCUCCUCACUGGGCUGUUAUUUGGCUGCUUCGGGUGUCAAAACAGGGCCAAUCAUUCAAAUCAUUCCACAUCCCAAUGCAGUAACACUGCUCAAAGCAGCAAUCAUAAUGUAAUCUUUGAGUUAAUGUGAACCCGCCACUAUUCCUCCCCCCAGCACUUUGUUUCGCCAGCAGGAAGUCUGGUGACUCCGGCUGUUUGGCCAAUAUUGUCAGCAGUAAAAUGAACCCUGCCUUUUCCACACGGGCACUGUGGGGCAACAGAUACGGUAGAUUAAGUAAGAAAAUAUCUGUUGC
ensembl:lncRNA